rnacentral:lncRNA from 1 species
UCAAUUUUUUUAUUUCUUAUUGGGCAAAUCUCCAAAAUAGCACAUUUCUAAGUUUAUAUCACAAAAAUAGCACUCAAAAACUAAAAUGACCAAAAUAGCACCUUUUUAAGUUUAUCCUUUGAAAAUUUUAAUUUUUUUUAUUUUUCAAAAUUUGAAAUCUUAUCCCCAAAACCUCAUUUCUCAACUCUAAACCCUAAACCCUAAACUCUAAACCCUAAAAUCUAAACCCUAAACCCUAAAAUCUAAACCCUAAACCCUAAACUCUAAACCCUAAAUCCUAAACCCUAAAUCCUAAACCCUAAAUCCUAAACCCCACCCU